AUUGUUAUGAAUAACUUGUAGAUGAAUACUGACUUCCGACCGUUUUCAUCGUUGUUUUAACUGGGCGUCGAACCGGUGAACCUCACAUCACCAACGGUUUCAACACGGUUGACAGUUCCGCAUUAACGGCAGACGGAUGCCCCGCCCCCUCCAAUCAAGGCGCAGAAGCAGUUCCAAUAGUUUCCAAACCCGGAAGACGGUCAGCCAAUCAGAGGGCCGCUGUGGUUCCAAUAUGGAGAAUCAGACUUUGUGGUGACUUCUGUCAUCCAAUCAGAGGCCGGAUUUGUUCCAAUAUUCCUCCAGGACCCUCCCCUGUCACUGGAACCUGCUGAACGGUGCGGACGGAGCUCCCAGGGGCACAUGGGAAGUUCUGUGUGACGAGUCUUUACAUCAGGACGAGAGGAAACAACCUGUUCAGGUCAGUGUUGGUUCCACCACCUCCACCAGAGGUGCUGUCACACUCACAUCCUCAACUACCUCCAUUUGUGCUGCUGCUUUGUCCAGUGUGGGCUAAAGAAGAUCAAGGAGACAGACACAGAGACGUAAAGA